rnacentral:rRNA from 1 species
UACAGGGGGGGCAAGCGUUGUUCGGAAUUACUGGGCGUAAAGGGCUCGUAGGCGGCCAACUAAGUCCGACGUGAAAUCCCAAAGCUUAACUUUGGAACUGCGUCGGAUACUGGAUGGCUUGAAUUCGGGAGAGGGAUGCAGAGUUCCAGGUGUAGCGGUGAAAUGCGUAGAUAUCUGGAGGAAUACCGGUGGCGAAGGCGGCAUCCUGGACCGACAUUGACGCUGAGGAGCGAAAGCUAGGGGAGCAAACGGG